rnacentral:rRNA from 1 species
GACGAGCUCUCCAAACGUUAUUCGGUAUCACUGGGCUUAAAGAGUUCGUAGGCGGCUCCGUAGGUGAGGUGUGAAAGCCCUCGGCUUAACCGAGGAAUUGCGCUUCAAACCGUGGGGCUUGAGGGAGACAGGGGUAAGCGGAACAGAUGGUGAAGCGGUGAAAUGCGUUGAUAUCAUCUGGAACACCGGUGGCGAAGGCGGCUUACUGGGUCUCUUCUGACGCUGAGGAACGAAAGCUAGGGUAGCGAACGGG